rnacentral:lncRNA from 1 species
CGACCGGCACGGGCUGCUCGGUCCCGGCGGGCACCUCCUCCACCCACGCGCACCGCCCAGCAGACUUUCCCAGACAACCUUUAUGAGUCAGAACCAGGGAUGAAACAGCCAAGCGCAGUUCUGCUGAGCUACUGGUGCUAUCCCUGCCAGCCAAAGACACUGUGAUGAAGAAAUCAGAAAACAAAACAGAUCAAGAGGACUGUGGACCUUUAUUGGAUAGUGCCAGCAUCCUUGAGGUGCUGUGUUUGUGUCAAGUGGACUUCCUGCUGCAAUCUGCUCAAGUAAUUUCAAAGGAUAAUGAUCAUUAUCAGAGACAGGAAAAGGUUUUAU